rnacentral:lncRNA from 1 species
GACGCCCAAGUCGGUCCUGAGGGCGAUGGCCGUGCCGGAGCUCACGCUCUACCACCUCAAGAGCCACCUCCAGGUGCCCCCACCGCGCCGCCGAUCGCCGGAAAAUUUUUAUUCUCUUAAUCGCGAGCUCUGCUCGAGCUGAAUUCUGGCUACUGCUGCUGCUGCAGAAGUACCGGCUGGCGGUGAGCCGAGGCCUCAUCACCACCUCACCCGGCGACAACGGAGAGGGCGCCAACGACCGCUCAUCCUCCUCGGAGAACGAGUACGACGAGGACGCCGUCGCCGAGUUGCAUGGUGCAUUCACCGCCGACGAUGGAGCCGGUGCUAAAGAAGGUCUCUGCGAUUCUUCCAGGAGCAUGGCACGGAUGCACAGGGAGGUGCAGAGGAAGCUGCAGGAGCAGAUCGAGGUAAACGAUCGAUCAGUCACCAUUCCGAAUUUAUUCUGACAGAUUCAGACUGCUAGUUCACGGAUGCCGAUCAAGCAGAGCUUAAGCUUAUUGGUUCCAUGCUCGUUCUCGGCAGGUCCAGAGGCACCUGCAGCUGAGGAUCGAGGCGCAGGGGAGGUACCUGCAGUCCGUGCUGCACCGAGCGUACGAGGUCCUCUCUGACGACCACAACCUCGGAUCGCCGGCGGCCACGGAGCUCUCGGAGCUGGCCUCCGCGGUGGAGUCCGGGUGCCUGUCCUCCUCCUCCUCC